AGGACUUCAAGAUGGCGGCCUGUCAGUUGUCAACAAAGGGUGACAACCCCGAGGAGUGUCCAGUGUGCCUGACAGGCUUUGAUGACUUAGUACAGCGGCCACGCACUCUGCCCUGUGGCCACACAGUCUGCACACUGUGCUCAGAUAAGCUGAAGGAGCAGGGCCGUGUUACCUGUCCGGAGUGCCGCGUCACCCAUGCCGUGCCCGAGGGCGGGCAGUUCCCUGUCAGCUAUACAAUUGAGGCCUUCAUAAGAAGGCUGAGAGACGGCAAGGCGGCGGAGGCCUCGCCGCCACCCAGUGCCGGGAAGGGGAAAGGGGCAGCAGGAUCAGCUGGCAAGAAGGGAGCAGCGGGUCUCUCCAAGAAAAUGCGUUCCUUUCUGCAGGAACAGGAGGCCACAGUUGUGGCCGCCAUCACCGCCUGCCAGGAGGCUCAGUCCCAGCUGGACCAGUAUGAGGCCACCCUGACAGGCUGGGUCGAGCGGCAGCAGCAGCUGGAGGACAGCCUCCAGGGACUGAUGGACCAGAGCAGGAGUUCCAGGGAGCUCCUGCAGCAGGAAAGGUUCCGUGUGGCACCGAAGAGGAAGGAGGCGAAGAAGAAGGAGCAGGAGCUGCAGACUGUGCGGGAGAAGUUGCGCACUCGUGCAACAGAGCAAGAGGCACUCAAAGUUUUAGCAACAGUGUUCCACCUCACCGGUGAGGUGGAGCAGGUGUUGGAGGAGUGCCAGCAGUGUUUCCCUGACGCCGGCAUCCUCACCACCGCCAGGAAGGUGAGAGAGGCAUCUAGUGCAGCCCUGGAGGCCGCCAAGGCUGUCCAGGCGGCUCUGGAAACUGUUUCUACAGAAGAACCCAGGCCCCAGUCAGUCCCAGAAGAACCCAGGCCCCAGUCAGACCCAGAAGAACCCAGGCCCCAGUCAGACCCAGACCUCACCAUCAUGGAAAAAGUGCAGUUCAUCUUAAAGCCAAGCUUGAAGGCCGAGGACUUCCGCAGUCUGACAGAGCGCACCAGGAGCCUGCUGCAGGCUGGCCGGGUGUUUGCUGUGCACCAGGUGGAAGGUCAGCGCCGACACGCAAGAAUAAGCCUCGAAGCCGGCCGGCCGUGCCUCCAUGCCCUGGCGGACCAUCCCCCGCCACAGGGCGCGUCAACCCUGCAGGUCAGCCAGGUCGUGCCGCCCUCCCCCCCCUGCACGGUGUUCCUGGACCUGUCCUGGCCGGGCCGUGCGCCGCGCCGGGUCCACAUCCGUCUGAGCCCCGACACCCAGCGGGGCCGCCAGUUCCUGAUGCUGUGCACGGGGCAGCGCGGCCCCUCCUACCGCGGCACCAGGCUGUACGGGGUGUGGUGCAAGGGGGAGCCGGCAGAGUGUGUGUAUGGCGGGGACUACGAGAGUAAUGAUGGUACGGGGGAAUGUGUGCUGCUGCCUGGCCUUGAGGAGGGUGGGGAGGGGAGGCCAUGGCGGGCAGGGGAUGUGUGUGGGUGGGGGAGGCAGGGUGUGUUUGCCAUCACCACCAGGGACGAUCAGGAUGUGUGGCGUUGUUGUGUCUUCGGUGAGGUGGUGGAGGGACUGCACGUGGUGGCCGAGGCAGCCCAACACAGCGACAUUACGGAGGUGACUGUGGUGGACUGUGGCGUGGUGCUGUAAGGGUAUACUGGCCUGCACCACCACCACCACCAUCACCACCACAACAUUAAGGAGGAGAUUGUGGUGGACUUUGUGGUGUUGAGGGUACUGGCCUGCACCACCACCACCACCACCACCACAACAUUAUAGAGGAGAUUGUGGUGGACUUUGUGGUGUUGAGGGUACUGGCCUGCACCACCACCACCACCACCACCACCACCACAACAUUAUAGAGGAGAUUGUGGUUGUUUUCUUAAUGUAUUGUUGUUGUUUUUUAUUUCCUGUAACCUCAAGUUCAGUAUAAUGUGUUGGUCAGUUUCUUGUACUAUUGAGCAUGAUGUUUUGUACAGUACAGUAAUCCCUCCUUAUACACGGAGGUCAGGUUUCAAAUUAGACCGUGCAUUAAGAAAAAUCGUGUAUAACUACAUUAGACACUGGGAAAGGGCAGAAAAUUAAAGUUUACCCUCUUUUACUCAAAUUACUUAGUGUUCUUUUGCUGUGAAUUUCCCUUUUCUUCUAACACUUAAUUUUGAACGAGAACAUUAAUUGUCCGUCAUCCAAGGCUUCAUUAAACCAGUGUUUCUCUACACACAAAGGAAACAGUGUCCGCGCUGGACCUGUUUGCUGCUUCGUGCUGUUAAGUGUGUGUGACCUUCACGGAUGGAAAAAAAUAUCAUUUAUGCAAUAAAAGGAAUUGAAACUGGA